UACGAACUGUGCGAACGUUAUUCGGAAUCACUGGGCGUAAAGGGCUCGUAGGUGGCCAACUAAGUCAGACGUGAAAUCCCUCGGCUUAACCGGGGAACUGCGUCUGAUACUGGAUGGCUUGAGUUCGGGAGAGGGAUGCGGAAUUCCAGGUGUAGCGGUGAAAUGCGUAGAUAUCUGGAGGAACACCGGUGGCGAAGGCGGCAUCCUGGACCGACACUGACACUGAGGCGCGAAAGCGUGGGGAGCAAACAGG
rnacentral:rRNA from 1 species